CUGAGCACCCCGGGCGCCGCGGGACCCAGAAUUCCCGGGGACGUGGAAGAGACCAUAGGCUCUAAUGAAGGGGGGUGUCCCCGGGUGGUGAGGCGGAGUCUGCAUCGUGAAAUGGGCUGGACGUUCCCGUGAGUCUCUGCCAGUAUUACCCUCCCUUCUGUGAAGAAUGGAAUAUUCCGACUCCUUAAAGGCCCAGGCCGCAAAAGAGGCCAUCUUUUCCGUACCGUGAAAAUGGAGCAGAGCCGCUGCCGCCGUGGACUCCGGAGCCCGAGGUCCCCGAAGGCCGGUUCCCUGCUCCCCGGACGCGGCGUGGGAGGUGCGCCAACCCGGGAGGACUGGGUAAGCGCGGCCCGGGGGAGCGUGGCGCAUGGGACGUCGAGGAGGGCUUGCCCGACGGUGCUGAUGAUCCUGGGGUUAGGAAGUGCCGUCAGAAGCGAUAAUUGACGACUCUGAUGCCUGCCUGACCGCGGUCGCGGAAGCCUCAACGGUCGGGUUGAACAGCACUGCCACUACGUGCCCUUAACGCCUGUCGCCCUCCCGUGUUCCAGGUGGCACAUGCCUUGCAGUGCCUUGAGGCCAGGAGCGGUCUCCCACCCGGAGGUUGCACAUGAGUGCUGCGGGGUCACCAGUGUGUGAUCAGAUCGAGACCAGCUGCUGAGUGUUAGAGGGAGGAGCACUGGCCUGCCGUUAAGGUAAGCUUCGGUCUGUGGAACAGCUUGCAUGGCCGGCUGUUAGAUGAUGUGACCUUCCGGUUAGGUCAGGUAGUGGCACUUUUAGCCGGCUAACCUAAUAACCUUGUAUUACUGUAGCCCUUGACCUUCAUUGAGCGUAUCUUGGAGAUACAGAUACGGUUCAUGGUGGCAGUGGAGCAGAGGGCAGAGGAAACCCGGGAGUUUGUUAGCUCACUGCUCUAAAAUGCUGUCCCAGUUGCCUGUCUGCUGAGAUGUAGCUUUCCUCGUCCUUGGAGAUGACCGCGCAGGUGUGUGGGGUUAAAAUGAUGGGAUGAAAUAAGGUUGCAUCACCCAGAAAAGCCAGUUAGGACUUACAGACUUCACAUGGCUUCAUGAACGAAAAAAACACCUCCAGUAGGUUCUUAAGGGCUGCCAUUAGGAUGGGCUGGAUUUGUAGUUGAGGCUCUCAUGAGCAAGACU